CCUCAGUGUUCACAGUAAAACUGUAACAUAAAGUGGGUACAGCCUCAGUGUUCACAGUAAAACUGUAACUUAACGAGGGGACAGCCUCAGUGUUCACAGUAAAACUGUAACUUAAAGUGGGUACAGCCUCAGUGUUCACAGUAAAACUGUAACUUAACGAGGGGACAGCCUCAGUGUUCACAGUAAAACUGUAACUUAAAGUGGGUACAGCCUCAGUGUUCACAGUAAAUCUGUAACUUAAAGAGGGGACAGCCUCAGUGUUCACAGUAAAACUGUAACUUAAAGUGGGUACAGCCUCAGUGUUCACAGUAAAUCUGUAACUUAAAGUGGGUACAGCCUCAGUGUUCACAGUAAAACUGUAACUUAAAGCAGGUACAGCCUCAGUGUUCACAGUAAAACUGUAACUUAACGAGGGGACAGCCUCAGUGUUCACAGUAAAACUGUAACUUAAAGCAGGUACAGCCUCAGUGUUCACAGUAAAACUGUAACUUAACGAGGGGACAGCCUCAGUGUUCACAGUAAAACUGUAACUUAAAGUGGGUACAGCCUCAGUGUUCACAGUAAAACUGUAACUUAAAGUGGGGACAGCCUCAGUGUUCACAGUAAAACUGUAACUUAAAGUGGGUACAGCCUCAGUGUUCACAGUAAAACUGUAACUUAAAGUGGGUACAGCCUCAGUGUUCACAGUAAAACUGUAACUUAAAGUGGGUACAGCCUCAGUGUUCACAGUAAAACUGUAACUUAAAGUGGGUACAGCCUCAGUGUUCACAGUAAAACUGUAACUUAAAGUGGGUACAGCCUCAGUGUUCACAGUAAAACUGUAACUUAAAGUGGGUACAGCCUCAGUGUUCACAGUAAAACUGUAACUUAAAGCAGGUACAGCCUCAGUGUUCACAGUAAAACUGUAACUUAAAGUGGGUACAGCCUCCGUGUUCACAGUAAAACUGUAACUUAAAGUGGGGACAGCCUCAGUGUUCACAGUAAAACUGUAACUUAAAGUGGGUACAGCCUCCGUGUUCACAGUAAAACUGUAACUUAAAGUGGGUACAGCCUCCGUGUUCACAGUAAAACUGUAACUUAAAGUGGGUACAGCCUCAGUGUUCACAGUAAAACUGUAACUUAAAGUGGGUACAGCCUCAGUGUUCACAGUAAAACUGUAACUUAAAGCAGGUACAGCCUCAGUGUUCACAGUAAAACUGUAACUUAAAGUGGGUACAGCCUCAGUGUUCACAGUAAAACUGUAACUUAAAGAGGGGACAGCCUCAGUGUUCACAGUAAAACUGUAACUU